GACGAACGCUGGCGGCGUGCUUAACACAUGCAAGUCGAACGGUGAAGGGACCGGUUUUUGCUGGUUCUGGUUGAGUGGCGAACGGGUGAGUAACACGUGAGUAACCUGCCCCCUUCUUCUGGAUAACCGCAUGAAAGUAUGGCUAAUACGGGAUUUUCUUCACCUGCUUCAUGGUGGGUGUGGGAAAGAUUUUGUUUUGGUGGGGGAUGGGCUCGCGGCCUAUCUGCUUGUUUGUGGGGUGAUGGCCUACCCAGGCGGUGGCGGGUAGGGCGCCUGAGAGGGUGGGCGGUACAGGGAGGACUGAGACGCGGCCGAGACUUCUGCGGGGGGCAGCAGGGGGGAAUAUUGCACAGGGGGCGCAAGUCUGAUGCAGCGACGCCGCGUGGGAGAUGGAGGCCUGCGGGUUAUAAACCUCUUUCGCCAGAGAAGCAGGCCUGUAACUUUUGUGGGUGGGUUGACGGUAACUGAAUAAGAAGCGCCGGCUAACUACGUG
rnacentral:rRNA from 1 species